rnacentral:rRNA from 1 species
CAGGGCUUGACAUGGGAGGGCCGUGUCCAGAGAUGGGCAUUUCCGCAAGGACCCUCCGCACAGGUGCUGCAUGGCUGUCGUCAGCUCGUGUCGUGAGAUGUUGGGUUAAGUCCCGCAACGAGCGCAACCCUCGCCUUCAGUUGCCAGCAGGUUUGGCUGGGCACUCUGAAGGAACUGCCGGUGACAAGCCGGAGGAAGGUGGGGAUGACGUCAAGUCCUCAUGGCCCUUAUGUCCUGGGCUACACACGUGCUACAAUGGCGGUGACAGCGGGAAGCCAGGUCGCGAGGCCGAGCCGAUCCCCAAAAGCCGUCUCAGUUCAGAUUGCACUCUGCAACUCGGGUGCAUGAAGGCGGAAUCGCUAGUAAUCGCGGAUCAGCACGCCGCGGUGAAUACGUUCCCGGGCCUUGUACACACCGCCCGUCACACCAUGGGAGUUGGUUCGACCUUAAGCCGGUGCGCCAACCCAGCAAUGGGGGGUAGCCGACCACGGUCGGGUCAGCGACUGGGGAG